rnacentral:rRNA from 1 species
ACUCCUACGGGGAGGCAGCAGUGGGGGAAUAUUGCACAAUGGGGGAAACCCUGAUGCAGCCAUGCCGCGUGUGUGAAGAAGGCCUUCGGUUGUAAAGCACUUUCAGUAGGGAGGAAGGUAGUGUAGUUAACACCUGCACUAUUUGUACGUUACCUACAGAAGAAGCACCGGCUAACUCCGUGCCAGCAGCCGCGGUAAGUACGGAGGGUGCGAGCGUUAAUCGGAAUUACUGGGCGUAAAGCGCAUGCGAGGUCGGCCUGUUAAGUCAGAUAGUGAAACGCCCGGGGUACCUUAACCGUCGGUAAUUGCAUUUAGAAACGUGGACGAGGCUAGAGUCUUAGUAGGAGGGGUUAGAAUUUCAGGUGUAGCGGUGAAAGUGCGUAGAGAUCUGAAGGAAUACCAGUGGCGAAGGCGG